GACUUUUUGUGUUUGUUGGCCAAGUCACAGCGCCACUCCAACACACAGAGGCCAUGGAGUUGGCAGAGGAUCCAAUAAAGCUCCCAGAUGGUUACUUGCAUCUACAGUGCUGGAAAUAAUCAUUACAAGGGAAAGGCUGACAUGGUGAAAGGCAGAGCCUCAGUCCAGAGGGAUGUCUCUGAAUGGGAGGACUGGACCACCAGGACUUUUACACAGCUCAGCAAGCAGAAGUGUCAGCAGCAUCUGGUACACAGGGGUGAGGGAGGAAUGACCCUGAGCAUUGGUUCAGACUGAGAAGUGACUGGUGGAUAAGACUUGGAGAUUUUUUCCCCAUAAGUUGCUAGGAGACUAACUACUGAGUACUUGUGAGUACUUGACCAAAACAAAGAAGUGGCCAAAGGAGCACCGGGCUACACCUAUUGUUUCUGGGUCUCUGGGAGUUGUCUCUCGGAGGGGGGAGAUAAGGCGAGUUUUGGGGCAGUUGGCUCUCUUGCUCUUGGCAUUGGAAAGGACGGUCAGGCUGCUGCUCGCAGCGGGAGGAGUCCACGGUCAUCACUCCGUCCCGUCCUGGGAAAUCUACCAUCAUCUGCUAAUAUGCCCAGGAAUUCUGAGCUCACUUCCUCCUCUGGCCCUGCUGGACCGGCCCUGCCCCACCUCCACCGCUUUUCAGCGCUGCUUUGAGGCAUUCUGCUACUCCGUAGCCCCGCAGUGCCCUGCCCUGCCAGGGUAUCCCUGCCGUUCCAGCUACUGGCGCAAUGCAUCUGAUCUUAUCCACCAGCCCGGGACUUUCCACCGUUCCAGCUUGGUCUCUCGGAGUCCUGCAGGGGCACCGAGAUCAAACUGCCCCGGGCUUUUGUGAAAGAAAGUUCCUGGUUCUGUUUAUUAUUAAUGCUGUAGUUGUUUGUUGUUUUGUCAUACAUACCAGUAAAGAACUGUUAUUCCUAUCCCUAUACCUCUGCCUGAAAGCCCCUUUAAUUUUCUAAAUUAGAAUAACUUGGAGGGAGGCGAUUUGAAUUCUCCAUCUCUAGGGAGGCCCUGCCGUUCCCUAGCAGAUACCUGUCUCUCAAACCAAGACACAUUGAUGACGUGGAUGAGGGUAUUGAGGCUUUGAGUAGUAAAUUUGCAGACAACACUAAGCUGGGAGCAUGUGUGGAUCUGUUAGAAGGUGGGAGGGCUCUGCAGAGAGACCUAGAAUGAUUGGAUAGAUGGGCAGAGUCCAAUGGGAUGAAGUUUAAUAAGUCCAAGUGCUGAGUCCUGCAUUUUGGCCACAAUAAUCCCUGCAAUGUUAUAGGCUGGGGAUGGUGUGGCUGGACAGAACGCAGGCAGAGAAAGACCUGGGGGUUCUGGUGACAGCAGCUGAACAUGAGCCAGCAGAGUGCCCUGGUGGCCAAGAAGGCCAAGGCAUCCUGGCCUGGGUCAGGAAUGGUGUGUCCAACAGGAGGAGGGAGGUCAUUCCUCCCCUGUACUCGGCACUGGUGAGGCCACACCUCGAGUGCUGUGUCCAGUUCUGGCCCCUCAGUUCAGGAAGGACAUUGAGAUGCUUGAGCGUGUCCAGAAGAGGCAGUGAGGCUGGUGAGGGGCUUGGGACACAAACCCUGUGAGGAAUGGCUGAGGGAGCUGGGGGUGUUUAGCCUGGAGAAAAGGAGACUCAGGGGUGACCUUAUCACUCUCUGUAACUCCCUGAAAGGAGGCUGGAGUCAGGUGGGAUUGGUCUCUAUCUCCUGGCAGCAACUGACAGAAGGAGAGAACAUGGUCUCAAAAUGCACCACGGGAAAUACAGGUUGGAAUUAGGAAAAAGUUUUUUACAGAAAGGGUGAUAAAGUACUGGAAUUGUCUGCCUGGGGAGGUGGUGGAGUCACCAUCCCUGGGUGUGUUUAAAAAAAGACUGGAUAUGGCACUCAGUGCCAUGGUUUAGUUGUUAGGGCUGGGUUGGAGUCGUUGAUAUUGAAGGUCUCUUACAACCUAGUGAUUCUGUGAUUCUGUAUGUGAUCUUUGCAGUGUUAAAGUAGGAUGAGCAAUUUAUGCUGAGACAUCACAGAAUCAUAAUGUUUUGGGUUGGAAGCAAACUCAAAGAUCAGUCCUGCUGCCUGUCCUCCCGCCCCAGACCCCCCAAGGGGCAGGAACAUCUUCCCCCAGAUGCCAUUGCUCCGAGCUCCAUCCAGUCUGACACUGAACACUCCCGGGGCUGGGGCAAUACACAAUCUCCCUGGGCAACCUGUUUCAAUUCCUCACCAUGCUUACAGUAAAUAAAUUCUUCAUAAUAUCUAAUUGAAACUGCCUUCUUUCAUUUUAAAGCCAUUUCCCCUUGUCCUAUCACUAUGUGCUCUUGUAAAAAGUCCUUCUCCAACUCUCUUGUAGCCCCUUUAGGUACUGGAAGGCCGCUACAAGGUCACCUCAGAGCCUUCGUCUCUUCAGGCCAAACCCCCCAACUCACUUGAACUGUCCUCACAACAGAGGCAUUCCAUCCCUCUGAUCAUCUUGGUGGCCUGCUCUGGAGUCAGUUCAACAGGUCCAUGUCCUUCCUGUGCUGGGACCCCAGAGCUGGAUGCAGGGUUCUAGGUGGGGCCUCCCCAGAGCAGAGCAGAGGGGCAGAAUCCCCUCCCUCCCCUGCUGCCCACGCUGCUCUGGAUGCAGCCCAGGACACGUUUGACUUUUUGGGCUGUGAAUGCACGUGGAAGGGUCUUAUUGAGCCUCUUGUCAACCAGCACCCCUGUCUUGGGUUGCAAUGCAAGAUGUAACCAAAAGUAUGUGUUCUGUUCUCAUCUGUUGAAAGCGGUUGGGGAGCUGUUUUCUUUAUCUCUUCUAUGACCCAUUCCUCAUUACUCCAGGGAGGAGGGUGUGGGUGUCUUCUGUUAAUGGGCCAGCUGUUAAAACCAGGCGGGGCAUUGUUCUUUAUCUCUUCCACAACCCAUCCUCCCUCCAGAGGGAUAUCUGCUGUUAAUGAGCCAUUAAGGCUCACUGCAUGACUGAUUACAUUACAUCAUCCCAUUGUGAGAUGCUCCACGCAGUGCAGGAGCCAAGCAUUCCUACCUGGAUAAAACCUGAGAAUCAGAACAGCAGGACAGCUUGUUGCCACUGAAUUUCCAGCAGAAGACUGGACCCAUCUCACCACCACUGGAUGUUCAUAGAAAACUACACCCUUCUACAGAAUCAUCUCUGCCCCAACAGAACAUCUGUCACUCCAAAAGGACUUAAUCAGACUGCUCCCAACACCUUGACAAACAGGGUGUCAGGUUGUAUUCUGACUGUCAGUGUUUUCUCUUUUGUUUGCUUGCUUUUGUGUACUACUACAUUUUUAUUUUUAAUAUUCCUAGUAAAGAACUGUUAUUCCAAUUCCCAUAUCUUUGCCUGAAAGCCCCUUAUUUUCAAAAUUGUAAUAAUUUCUAGGG